GGGCGCUUAGCUCAGUUGGUUAGAGCGCUACCUUGACAUGGUAGAGGUCAAUGGUUCGAAUCCGCUAGCGCCCA
rnacentral:tRNA from 1 species